rnacentral:lncRNA from 1 species
UUCCUAUUAAGUGAUGUUAGGAGUUAGGACCAAUUGUAGACAGGGAUACUUAAGCAACAGCUAUGAAUGUUGCUGGUCUACUUUUACAUGUUUGAUAAACCUAAUGAUAUGAAGUUCUUGUUCAGCUAGAGUAGAGCAUGGAAAUAUAAUUAGCAAAAAUCAGUAUGAAACAGCUUCUGCAUGACAAACAAAAAAUAUUACUAC